CCGUAAUAGUCGUACCGACGGCGGUAACCGACGAAAACGCCCGCGGGAUUAUUUUAGCGGAUGGGUAACUACACCGGUUACCGACGGAUCGCGUUGAAUCGAAUCCAAUACGGUAUAACAUCGUCGAUUGUAAUAUUAUUAUAAACGUACGAUUGGGGCUGUACACUGUGCGACACCAAUAUUGUGUGUUCCAAAACGAAAAUGAUGCGGGAAAAAAACGAAUCGCGGAUUAAUAACCGCAUGGCGCGCGUGAAUAUUAAAUGUUGUUUUGUUAACGUUCUAAUUGUCACGUCCGUACGAUGCGAAUACAUUUUAUGUUUCCGAAUUUCGGGUGUUUUUUUU